rnacentral:rRNA from 1 species
GUGGGGAAUCUUCCGCAAUGGACGAAAGUCUGACGGAGCGACGCCGCGUGAGUGAAGAAGGCCUUCGGGUCGUAAAGCUCUGUCAUCAGGGACGAAUGGUCGAUGGAGUGGAAAGCCAUUGAAAUGACGGUACCCGAGAAGGAAGCCACGGCUAACUACGUGCCAGCAGCCGCGGUAAUACGUAGGUGGCAAGCGUUGUCCGGAAUUAUUGGGCGUAAAGCGCGCGCAGGUGGGAUCUUAAGUCUAUUUGGAAAGUUCGGAGCUUAACUCCGUGAUGGGAUAGAAACUGGGAUUCUUGAGUACCGGAGAGGAAAGCGGAAUUCCCCGUGUAGCGGUGAAAUGCGUAGAUAUGGGGAGGAACACCAGUGGCGAAGGCGGCUUUCUGGACGGUGUCUGACACUGAGGCGCGAAAGCCAGGGGAGCGAACGGGAUUAGAUACCCUGGUAGUCC